rnacentral:rRNA from 1 species
CACGCCGUAAACGAUGAGUGCUAGGUGUUAGGCCCUUUCCGGGGCUUAGUGCCGGAGCUAACGCAAUAAGCACUCCGCCUGGGGAGUACGACCGCAAGGUUGAAACUCAAAGGUAUUGACGGGGGCCCGCACAAGCGGUGGAGCAUGUGGUUUAAUUCGAAGCAACGCGAAGANCCUUACCAGGUCUUGACAUCCCGAUGCUAUUCUUAGAGAUAGGAAGUUACUUCGGUACAUCGGAGACAGGUGGUGCAUGGUUGUCGUCAGCUCGUGUCGUGAGAUGUUGGGUUAAGUCCCGCAACGAGCGCAACCCUUAUUGUUAGUUGCCAUCAUUAAGUUGGGCACUCUAGCGAGACUGCCGGUAAUAAACCGGAGGAAGGUGGGGAUGACGUCAAAUCAUCAUGCCCCUUAUGACCUGGGCUACACACGUGCUACAAUGGUCGGUACAACGAGUUGCGAGCCGGUGACGGCAAGCUAAUCUCUGAAAGCCGAUCUCAGUUCGGAUUGGAGGCUGCAACUCGCCUCCAUGAAGUCGGAAUCGCUAGUAAUCGCGGAUCAGCACGCCGCGGUGAAUACGUUCCCGGGCCUUGUACACACCGCCCGUCACACCAC